rnacentral:rRNA from 1 species
GACGAACGCUGGCGGCGUGCUUAACACAUGCAAGUCGAGCGGUAAGGCCCUUCGGGGUACGACGAGCGGCGAACGGGUGAGUAACACGUGGGUGACCUGCCCUUACGCUCUGGGAUAAGCCUGGGAAACUGGGUCUAAUACCGGAUAUGACCUCAUGACGCAUGUUGGUGGGGUGGAAAGCCUUGUGCGGCUAGGGAUGGGCCCGCGGCCUAUCAGCUUGUUGGUGGGGUGAUGGCCUACCAAGGCGACGACGGUAGCCGGCCUGAGAGGGCGACCGGCCACACUGGGACUGAGACACGGCCCAGACUCCGUACGGGAGGCAGCAGGUGGGGAAUCUUGCGCAAUGGGACGAAAGCCUGACGCAGCGACGCCGCGUGA